rnacentral:lncRNA from 1 species
GUACAUGAGCCUUGGGUUUUGUUUAAAGCACCAACUCACAACUCUGACUCAAAGAAUACUUAUCGGGAGCAACUAACUACAUGAAAUGCAGAGAUGCAUGUAUCUGGCAGCUUCCUGGCAACCCCAGAUCUCUGAUCUAAUUUUAUUCCUGCGAAGUUUGGAUUUAGAAGAAAAUGCGCAGCAGCCUCACUGGGGAGAAGGAGGCUGGAGGAAAAUGAAAGAUUCCAGGAGAGAAGAAAUCACAUAACAUAGCCACUCAAGUUGAAAACAUCUAUCUACAGAAAAACCUGCACAGAGGUAUUUACAGCAACUUUGCUCUUAAUUGCCCAAACCAGGAUACCACCAAAAUAUCCUUUACUAGGUGACUAAACAAAGUGGGCACAUCCGUACAAUGCAGUUUUGUUAAGCAAUAAAAAGAAAUGAGGGCUUGAGCCACUAAAGAACAUGGAGGAAACUUAAAUGCAACAUGCUAAGUUUAAGUCAGUCUGAAACAUUACAUAUUAUAUGGUUGCAAUCAUAUGACACUCUGGAAAAGGCAAAACUAUACCGAUAGUAAAAAGAGCAGUGAUUGGCUGGGGUGGGGAGGGAUGAAUACCAAGAGCACAGGGAAUGUUUAGGGCAGUGAAACUAUCUUGAGUGAUCCUCUAAUGGUCGGUACAUGAUAAUAAGCUUUUGUCAAGACCUAUGGAACUACAGAACACAGAGAGUGAACCCUACAUAAACUAUGGACUUUAAUUAUAGUGUAUCCGUGUUGUUUCAUCAGUUCUAACAGGUGUACCACAUUAUUGCAACAUGUUAAUAAUAG